ACGAACGCUGGCGGCGUGCUUAACACAUGCCAGUCGAACGGAAAGGCCUCUUUCGGGGGGUACUCGAGUGGCGAACGGGUGAGUAACACGUGAGUAACCUGCCCUUGACUUUGGGAUAACUUCAGGAAACUGGGGCUAAUACCGGAUAGGAGCUCCUGCUGCAUGGUGGGGGUUGGAAAGUUUCGGCGGUUGGGGAUGGACUCGCGGCUUAUCAGCUUGUUGGUGGGGUAGUGGCUUACCAAGGCUUUGACGGGUAGCCGGCCUGAGAGGGUGACCGGCCACAUUGGGACUGAGAUACGGCCCAGACUCCUACGGGAGGCAGCAGUGGGGAAUAUUGCACAAUGGGUGGAAGCCUGAUGCAGCAACGCCGUGUGCGGGAUGACGGCCUUCGGGUUGUAAACCGCUUUCGCUCAUGACGAAGCUUUGUGUGACGGUAGUGGGUAAAGAAGCACCGGCUAACUACGUG
rnacentral:rRNA from 1 species